UGCAGACCAGUAUGUCGGCUUUAGAAAGCAGAAUAAAGAAUCUAAAAUGGUUUACCUUUGGAAAGAACUUCAAAGAAAAAGUACAGGGAGCAACAGGAAAUUACCCCACCCCCCCUCAACAAAAAAAACACGCUCCAACAACACUCCUCCUCCGUUUAAAGUGGGCUGCGUAUGCUCCGGAAACUUCAAGUAAAAGUUCUACAGCGCCGGAAAAAGUUUUGAAAUAAGCGGCUGUUGUGUCUUUUCUUGUCGUUCAGCUCCACUGAGUCUUUAUGAAGUCUUCAACGCCAGCUCUCUGUCCAUUAAGAAGUCCUCCUCCUCCCAUGGCUCUGCCCCGGGCUCCACCAUUGUCAAGUCCCUCGAGAUUCAAGUCGUAUCCGGUCCGCUUUUCAGAAUAAAGCUCUGAGGUUUUUUUCUUUUUUUAAUUUGGGUUACCUCUCACGCUUCAGUUGUGGAAAGUUACUUUCAGUACUGUAGCCUACCAAAUAAAUAUUUUAAUAUUUCCAUGAUAUGCAACCUUUUAACAUCUACGUUAUGUAUUUCAUCGUGGUUAACUUUGCAGAAUAAGACGCACAUAGUUUACCCAACAAUAAAAAAGUAGAACAUCUACA